rnacentral:lncRNA from 1 species
CUAACUCAUGUUAAGCAAGUAUUCUAUUAACUUUUGGGGUGGGUUUUCUUAUUCUUCAGGACAACCACAUGUUGGAGCUGAUACUCCUAUUACUAUUUUAGUGAUGAGAAAACUGAGCCAUAUUAGUAACUGCCUGAUCAUUUUCUCCUAUGUUCUCUACCUCCCGUGUCUUGACCAACCUCAGAUUUAUACUGUCACCAUUAAAGAAGCUCUGGAUUGGGUGAUGUGGACUCUUUCUUAGGCUUAGAACGUGGGAAUGGAGUGAGGAGAAUCUGUUCAAGAGAAGACUGUGCAACCCAAUUUGAGACCUAGAUCAACAUUCCCAAAAUGGGGGCCUGGUGGGAAAGCUUGUGUCUGAUUCUGCCUUCCUUAAGAAGUGCCACACCUCCGCAAUCAACUCUGUACAGCUUAGUUCACUGGGGCUUGAAUUCCACUGUUCUCCAAAUUUUGUUUGAGGGUGUUUGUAGCACAGUUUGGAAGCUGAAAUGAAGGGACAGGAAGGUUUAUUAAUGUAUGUCACUGAGAACACUAAAGCCUCCUUUUCCCCUCUCUGGAUUUUCUAGCGUUUGAACUUCUCAGAUAGAGGAACCCCAGUGAAGACUGAUCAGUUCUUACAGUUCUCAAAGCAUGGCCCAUAAAUAUGUGGGUCUGCAGUAUCAGGGAUCAGUGACAUUUGAGGAUGUGGCCAUAGCCUUCUCCCAGCAGGAGUGGGAGAGUCUGGACUCUUCCCAGAGGGGCUUGUACAGAGAUGUGAUGUUGGAGAACUACAGGAACUUGGUGUCAAUGGGACAUUCCCUUUCUAAACCACAUGUGAUCGCCUUAUUGGAACAAUGGAAAGAGCCUGAAGUGACAGUGAGGAAAGAUGGAAGAAGAUGGUGCACAGGAUAAGAAAGCUCCAGUCUACAAACAAAACAUGCCAGAAGAUUUUUAGGC